rnacentral:rRNA from 1 species
UACGUAGGGUGCAAGCGUUGUCCGGAAUUAUUGGGCGUAAAGAGCUCGUAGGCGGUUUGUCGCGUCUGCUGUGAAAACUCGGGGCUUAACCCCGGGCCUGCAGUGGGUACGGGCAGACUAGAGUGCGGUAGGGGAGACCGGAAUUCCUGGUGUAGCGGUGAAAUGCGCAGAUAUCAGGAGGAACACCGGUGGCGAAGGCGGGUCUCUGGGCCGUAACUGACGCUGAGGAGCGAAAGCGUGGGGAGCGAACAGG